CCCUGCAAUUGUGAGGGCAGCAUACAUGCACCUCAUUAUCUUCAAUAUUGCAUGACUGGCUUUCAACACCAUUAUUCAAGACUCUGUGUGUGUGUGUGUGCGUGUGUACGUGCACACACAUACGCAAAAUACAAAGUAUAUAUUUUUUUCUUAAAGUGGAGGUGUAAGUCACCAUUUUAAGUGGCUGUUCUGACCUAACGCACUCCUUAGUCAACUGCUUAAAAAAAACCAUCUUGAAACAACGGAAACAAGCAUUUUCAAACAUUCUUCUAAGGUAACGCUUUCAGCAAGUCAUCUUCACUUAAUGCUUAUACUGAAGGAAACUGCAGCAGUGAGGUUUUUUUUCUUUUUUCUUAAAAAAAACCAUCUAACCCACUGUGGCUCAUAGCCCACUCAAUGUUCUUUAUAUUGUGUUAAGAAGCUGGUGGUUUCAGCUUAAUUAUCUUUCUGUAAGGUAUAGUGCAAUAGUUAUAGUGCAAACGGCUUUCCCUAUUAAGUUCCUCUGGUGUGUUUUCCUGGCUAUUGGGUUUCUAAAUGACGUUCCAUUGUACAGUACGUAGGAAGAAAUUAUGGCUGUAAAUGCCUUUGCAUUCAACUCAGCUGGUGGAUAUAAAACCGAUUGGCUUCCUCGACAAGAUCAGAGUAGAAGGGACUGUUGCAUUUCAUUACACUUAUUAUGUACCAAUUUUGGGCUAGUUUGGGCUAUAAGUGCUUCCGUAACAGCAUAAAUAGUUGAACAGUGGGGGGAGGGAUCUCAUUUUAACACAGACCCUACAUUUGAUCAGCUGUUUUUUGCCUUGUCUCUAUUAUAUUGCAGCUGCUCUGUUCAGUGUAGGGAUGAAAGACAGAGAUGUUAAUACUUAAUGUGAGUCCUUGGAGAAACAUCCACCCAUUCCACUAUACUAAAGCAGCAUCGUCACACCACAUUGUGCUACAACUGUGCACAAUUACAAACUCCCCAAGCCCACCCCACAGUCAAUCUCAUGGAUCACUUGGUGCCCUAUUAUGGUGUUUUUGAAACAGUGCACUUUGGACCACGUUCAGAAGGACUUCAGUGCAACAGCCUGCUCAGUUGUUGGGUUUUUUUUGCCAUUGUGGCUGCUGCUGCCCUGCAGCAUCAACAACUGUGUGGGCAGGCCUAGCCACCAUUUUGUAUCCUCCAUCAUCCUAGCAUCAUUCUGAGGCAUCGUGUGAAGGAAAUGGUGACUACUACAAAAAAGAAAAAGAAGCAGAAGGGGAAUAUUAGGAGGAAAUUCUUCCUGUUCAAUGGUAUGAGAGAAAGAUAGGAAGAGAAAAAGGCCCUGGCAAAUUUCUUAGGAAAAUGUCCUGGCAAAUUUCAACUGCAGUUUUUUGAGACCAAAAAGUCGGAAAUAAGCGUGUUGAUGAUUCAGCAUGUAGCUAGUUCAAACUUCUGCUAAUACUUGAUGAAUGGCAUGCAUUUUGUAUGGAUUCUGAAAUUAAAAUCUGUCACUGUAUUCCUAAUAAUUGUUGAUCUGGACCAACCUUAAACCCUGGAAUUCUUUAUCCUUCAUUCCUGGGCUUGCAUAAGUGAUGUCUUGGUCAAACACAUGCCUAAUUUGUGGGAAUGAUAUGUAAUCACAUAUCAAAACACUCAUGAAGUCUCAUUAAGUCUGUAAUUUAGCAGCAGAUGUUGGCCAUCUUUAUCCACUUGCUUGUAAAUCAUACUCUGUGGACAAAGGUUCCGGGAAUAUACAUUUGUUUAGGUCCCUAAAGCUCUGUAGCUUACAAGAUAUCAGUUUUCAUUUCCACAUCCUGGAAGAGCAUUGUAAAUGUGAACAAUAAUAGACCCGUUCUAAGUCACUACAUUAGCUGGUCAUUAAAUUAUUCAGUUUAUUUCCAUUAAAUACAGCACCUGAGACUUGAUAGUGACAUUUUGGGGCUCCUGUGUUGUGAAACUGGAUUGUCAAGGUCCUGUAGUAGCAUAAGGGGAGGGAGGACCACCAGUGGAUUGAUGAACUAAGCAUGGUGUUUUGUUUGUUUUUCCUGCCAUAGCAAAGGGAGGAUAAUGACUGAAAUGAAAGACACUUGUAAUGAGUAUGAGUUACUCGUGCGUAAACUGGUGCCUCUCUAGGCUGAUUUGCCUUGUUAAACCUUUCUGACUGCACAGCCCCUUCUGAUCAUGACUGUCUCAGUCACUAGCAGAAUCCGUCAGUGGGCGUUUCUUGAAUCUCUUCCAACAUAAGAGUUGUUUGACACCCAACCGCCUCCGCCCUCACUGCGCGGGAGCCUUCUGCGCAGGGUGGGCGUGGGUAGCGGGGGACCUGUCCCUCCUCACUGAGUUCCAGUGAAGAGUCCGUGAGCCCUCUCUCCGAUUUUCCCAUCUGCUCACUUUUGUUCCUGGUGUUGCGCUUAAAUGCUUCCCCCUCCACUGAGUCGCCUCUCCCCCUGCUGCUGGGUCCUUCUCCAGCAUCAUCCAGGAGCCUCCCCUUCGCCUCUCGCUCUGAUGUCAGUUCCCUGACAACACUGAACGGGUAGUCAACCACCAUCAGAUUUUGGUUGAUUCAUCAUGUAGGAAGACCACUAUCAGCUAAUUUGUGACUUUGCUAUUUUGUAUAUAUUUUUGGUGGUUAUUUUAUUUAGAUUGUUGCAGUGACCCGUGUAAACAUGCUUGCACGCAAGUGGGAUGUGCAUAAGUGGGGGGGGGGCGAGAGUGCCUGUAAAUACUCACAAACUUUGCAUCUACCUAUAUAUUAUUCACAAAUGUGAGCACAUCCAUAUGCUUGCACACAUAAAACAUGCAUUAAUUAUCCUACAAAAAUUGUAAACGUAUAGGCUUUGAUAUUACAGGCCCCUAUUUUCCCUCACCUGAAAACACAUUCUUACAAACCACUCCAUAGUGUUCUUGAAUCCUCUCUCUCUCACAUACACGCACAGACACACAGGUACACACACCAUUUAAAGAAAACAGUUUAGGGAUUUGGUUCAAAGAAUAAGGACAAUUAGGAAAGAAUGACUCUCAAGUUCAAUCUCAAUUUGAAGUUAGUGAGGCUCAUGGAGACAGUUGGGUCAAUUUUCUGUUCUCUGUCCAGUCAGCUCUCUGUACUACUCAACCAAUCCCAAUCCAAAAGUAUUGCUAUGGCAAAGAGGUCCCCUCCAUGCGUCUCCAGGCCAACAACAACAACAAACAGAAGUAAAAAUUUUAUAUUGUUGGACUGCUAGCUACUUAGCCUCAGUUGUGCAGAUUCCUACUCCCUCCUGUUAUCAUGAGGUCAAUCCAACCAGAGGAUAUAGCCAUCAGUGGUAUACCAGUUUCUGGUAUCCUUUCGGAAUCAAUACAUCUGUUCUGGAGGAUAUUCAGAGCAGUUUCCAUUGGUAUGGCUUAAUUUCUUUUUCUUUUUCUUUAAAUCUUAUUCUAUCCAUAGAUGUGUUUUUUCAUGAGGAGACAAUGGCACUCUGUAUGUGUGUAAUGGCACACUUUCUUAAAUAAGUGUUGUACUUGUGAUGAAAACAGCAAGGUUAAACUUUACAGCCCUACCAAGUCGAAAUGUUGCCAGCCAGGAGUGGGAAGAAAUGUGCAUUCAUUUCCCCGGUGAAUUUCUGCUUAUCUGUGUUGACACAUAAAAGGGCAUUAAGGCCUUUGAAACGUAACAUGAGAAGUGGACAGAAUUCUUGCAGACAAAUUUGAGAAGCAACUGAUAGUAAUUUCAAACCUAAUCACACUUGGAGUGCGGGGGUCAUAAUUCACCAUGAUGAAAAGGUUUUAAUUUUAUUUAAGGAGGAUGCAAAAGUAUGUAAUCAAUAUACAAGCAUUAUCCUAAAGUGGAUUCGGUGCCAGUGUAUUUCACCUUAUGCCUCUUAUGAAGAUGGCCUUCAGCAUCAGAAGGAUUGGAUGACGUGGACCUUUUCAGCUUAGAAAAAGGGUGAGUAGGGGAGACAUGAUGGAGGUGCUUAAAAUUACUCAUGGUACAGAAAAUGUGGACAGAGAAAGGUUUUCCUCCCUCUUUCAUAAUAUUAGAAACCAGGUUCACUCCAAUGAAGCUGAAGGUUGGAAGAGGCAACACAGACUGUGUUUUUUAAAACUACAGAAUACACUGCCAUCAGUAGAGGUCCUAGGGGUCUCAAAUUUCAGUCACACCUUGUGAGACACCAAAAUUCGGUGGCCCCACCUCCCACCUUUCAUUCUAUGUCAUAGUUGUGGUGUUGCCUGUGGCAUCUUUGAGUCUCUCAAUCUGAUCACACUCCCCUAAAUCCGCCUCUGUUUCCACAAGUUGUGAUGAUGGUCACUAACUUGGAUGGCUUCAAAAAGGAAUUAGACAAAUUCAUGAAGGAUAAAUCUUAUCAAUGGCUAUUAGUGCUACCGUCAGUAUGGUAAGCCUCUGAAUUCUAAUUUCUGGGAAUCACAAGUGGGAGAAGGCCAUUGAUCUCCUGUCCUGCUUAUGGGCUUCCCAAAGGCACCUCAUUAGCCACUGUGAGAACAUAAUGGUGGAGUAGAUGGGCUUUUGGUCUGUCAGCGCAGAGCUCCUGUUAUGUUCUUAUGGGGGCAAUGUGGUAAUCAUGGAUUUGACAGGAUUCAGUCUGUCAACACAACUGAUCAAGGCAUCUGACACAAUACAUUUGUUUCUCCAGAAUACUUCCAGCAAUUUGUCAGAAAAGUAUUUCCAAAGCUGAAGUCAAACUGCUAAACUCAUUUUACCUUUUAGAGAAAGCGGUCCACAGUGCUAUGGCAAAAUUGAAGCUGCUGCUUAGAAACAACAGCAGGGGACAUUAAACACAAUUUUAUAGUCUGGUUAUUGCUGGACAUAACUAUGAUUAGUUGGGACCAUCAGCACAGACUGUCUCACAACCUGAGGUAUUGCUGUCUCAGGCAGCCAGGUACCAGGGAAAACAAAUACCUCCGCCUCCUUUGGGAGGAAAUGUAGCAUCAAGUUAAAUUUCUUUCCCUGAGCUAACAAAGCCAGGAAAAUGCAGGUUGGAGCAGAGGAGGGAAUCCACAUAAUUCUACAGGAGGGUUUUCUUUUAAAAGCUGUGUGCCAAGGAGUUAAGUCUUGUCUAGGCGUAUGAAUAUUCAUGGGGAUUCAAAUUAAAAUACAAUUAAAACAAUCUUGCUGCAGGUUAUCACUGUUGUUGACUGACUGGCAGUCAGUGUGGACAAUCCUUACAUAAUUGGACCAGUGGUCUAACUUAGUAUAAGACAGCUUCCUAUUUAGCAGUAAUUCAGCUAUUUGCUUCAGACUCCUAUCUGACUUGUUUCCUUCAGACUCCACUGAGGGUUUACCCUCACCAGAACCCAGACAAACACUUUUUUUAUGCUACUGCUUGAACUUCCUAAAUGUGUGUUUUUAAAGACUUAAAAAUCCACGCCAGAAGUAUUAAUUCAAAGCAUGUUCACUUGUCUUUCUAAAGUCCGAUUUUAUUUCAGGUAGAACACUCUGAAGUGUUUGUGCAAAAUGCACCUAAACAAGUCUAUUUCUGAUUUCCUGCUUAUGCUUACUUUGCAGCUGAAUUUUUUAACACCUCUCUGAGCUUAUUGUAUGUAUGUGGCCAGGAAAAACUGGUGUUUAAAAUUCUGUAUAAAAUAACCAGAGUAAAAUAUUCUUCAAGUUUUAUGCCAGAACUUGCAAAACACAUUAAGGGGCACUGGCGCCAACUGCAGGGGGCCCUGGUGCCUAGGCACAUAAAAAAUUGUAACUGUGGGAGCCUGGCCUGCAUCCAUUGCCUGUUGCCCAUUGCCCUACCUCUGGCUCUCUGUUGCCAUGGCAAUGACUGAGCUGGGCCUCCACUGCGGGGCUUCCAUUGGGGCUCACUGUGGCCGCGGACAUGUACCCAUGGUCCCCUGCCCCCGCCUGGAAGCCUAGAAGUGGCAGCGGAGAGCAUCAUCAUUGUGCAUCAUGCCAUGGUGUCAUCACAUUGUACUAUGGUGUAACAUCAUCAGGUCAUCAUGUCGCACUGCAUUGUGAUGUCAUCACCUCACAUUGCAGCAUGCAGCACUAGGUACCCACGAUCUGGGGCCCAAGCUGACGCCUCUGGGAAGCACUGGCAUAUGAAGGGGGGUGGGGGGAGCAUGCUGCACUGGGUACCAUUUGGGGAAAGGGUGCCAUCGUGGCCACUCCCUCCCAGGAUGCACGCCACGCCCUCCUGGGACGCAUGCUGCAUGCUGAGCAACCUUGGGACAUGUGCCACACCCCCGUGGGCGACACGCCAGCCACGCCCCAGCCUGUUUUCCGCUCCUGGGGCUGCAGCAUGUUGCUCCGCCACUGCUGGGAAGGAGCCAGAAUACACUGUGAUUUUGCCACACUGAGAAUGAUUUUCUGAGAAUGAAGGGUUUCCUGAAAGGAAGCCCCUGGAUGGUCUCUCAGUUUAAACUGCUAUGCUGUUCACUGGUUUUGAAUGUGCCUGGCCUGAUUAGAGAAAUGAUUUUUCAGAAUUUCAAAGUAGUCCUUCAUUCCAAAGAUUAACUUGUAGGAGAGAAAAUACCUAGCUUGUUGAUAGAAGAGUUUUCUCCAUGGUCUUUCAAAUGAGGAACCCCUUUAUUAACUUCACAAUAACGAUGAAACAACUGUAUUCUAGGGCUUUUCACCGUAUGCUUAUGUCACUGUAAAUAGCAAUUAUCACAUGUGUGGUAUCAUGCAAACUGAACAAUAGCUUGAAAGGGUACAUUUGCCUGAAUGCAACACCUACUCAUGAGAAUUGAAUGUUAUCACUGAUGUUUAUUAAUUAAUUCAUGGCGUGCUCUGGUCCAUGGGGUCAUGAAGAGUCAGACACGACUAAACAACUAAACAACAACAACAAAUGGUAUCUACAGAUGAAAUCUCAUUUACUGCAGUUGAUUAACUACAUAGAAUAUCACUGCUUCCCAAAGAAAGGCCAUCCCACAUUAUUGCCAGUAAUUCUACAUCUGAAUUGCCUCCCAGCUGUGGUGAAUCGCUACUAGAAAAAGGACCUUGAAAGUCAUAGGAUUUGAGAGGGAGGGGAAAUGACAUUCCCAGGGGAUGGAAAGAUAAAGCAUCCUGUAACAUCAUCUUCCCAACCAGAAGCUGAGCUGGCAGGUAUACAUCUCUCCAAUGCCACCACAUGAGAUGGAAUAUCUAUCCAACCAUUUGUUCCUGCCAAGGCUUGCCAAAAUGUCUGGUUUCUGAUAGAAUAAAAAAAACUGUGCACCUUGCAUCUGCUGUCCUCUCCCUAGCUGACACACAAUGACAAUUCAGGGUCCUGUGGAUUGAAAUGAUAGACUAAAUAAUUUGGACAGAGCUCACAUCGCACAGUGCCAAACCUUACUCACUGUUUUUCAUUUCAGAAAAAUCCGUACCCCCAAACCAAGUUCUCAUCUCCAAAUGAGUCAAAUGUCAUGCCAAUGAGACACAAAAAGUGUCUUCACUUUAUAUUUACCGGUAUGUCCUCUCACUUGUAUAUAAGAAGAAACAAUUAUUUCUUACCAGUCCCUACUUCCACACUCCAAACCGGCACCUGGCUAAAUACAAAUGAGAACAUAUUUCAUAGUAAGUACAGGUGCAGGCAAGAUGAUUUUUUUUCUUAAACAAAGCAAUUUUAGACUCCAGAUGGUCCAGGAGGCAACACUAAUGGACUUGUUUGAAGCAAUUAGGUGCUUUUGACCAAAUCGCUGGGAGAUGAUUCUCCAUGCCAGGAGGGAAAUAUAUUUUGACAUCCUAAGCCUGUCCUUUCUCUUCGUUCUCCUGUGUGAGCUUCCAAUCUGCUGGCUUCAAAAUACAUACCUGCAAACCCACAAGCCACCUUCUUGACAGCUGCUCAAAUAACAGAGAGGAGGUGAUGGAGAGGGAGGGGGGGAGAGAAAGAUACCCUGUUCUGCAUUAUCACCCACCCGGCAGUUUUGAAAGCUUGGUAAGUUACUCAUACAGUGGGGGGGGGGAUGCCUGUCAGAGAGGGAGGGGGCGGACGGACGGAGAGAAGUGGAGAGGAGGGGGAAAUAAAGAAUGGCUCUUAAAAGUGCAACAUUUGCAACAUGCGCCUACAAACUAAAGGGCCAAUUAGGAUAAUAGGUUUGAAAUUGUUUCAGUGCAGUCCUAAAGACCAAAAAAAAAAUGAAAGAAAAAAAAUGUCCUUCAGCAAUGGGCUUGGCAUUGUUAGGAAGAGUCUCUGGAUAAGGAACAAUGCAUUCUCUCCGACCACAUUCCUCUCCUUCUUCCGACUGGACCAUACAUUAUUAAUGAGCCCCAUUUUCCGCUGUGAAAGGCCUGUUUGAAAAGCAUUAACAUAGACUAUUGGAUGUGAUUGACACUGUCAUCCCUUUCAUUUUUUGCUGUUGGCAAGAGGUAUCCCUGUAGAUUUAUGUGCAUCUGGACAUUGCUAAUAUUCUCCUUGUUAUGCUCUCUGGGCAGCUGUGAUAUAGACGUUUUUGGCAGGGAUUUUUUUUUUUUUUAAAGCUACCAUAUUGUCAUUCACAUAAAGAAGGCAGGGUUUUAUUUAUUUUUAUUUUCUCUUUAUCAAAUAUAUUAAUACCUAAUGGGCAAAGCGUGUGAUGAAAACACACACUUUGUUAGCUGCUGUUUCAUCAGGAUCCAUAGCUAUUUCCAUUGGCUCUUUCCUUCCAAGCAGGAAAGAGAAUGAAGACAUGAACUUACAGUUAGUCCCUCAACUCUGGAAUGAGCUUGGGCUCCUCUCAGUUUUGCAAAUGACAGGUGUGCACAUCUGUGAAUUGAACACCAUACACCCAUCAAUCUUGCCUUUUCAUUAUGUUUUAUGUUGGCUGCUCAGUUUUGAUUUUCUUUUUAAGUACUCAUUGUAACUUUAUACCAAGAUAGGUUCAUUUAUUACCUUAAUUUUUAAAAAUCAGAGAGACCUUUUAAAAGUGGCAAAUUGUCCUAGGGUCUUGGGAGUGGGGAGAGGGUUUUUGUGUGUGUGAAAUUGCAAUCACCGGCCAAGGAGUAAUGUGCAGAGAUUCCCUAAAGAUGCAGGCUUUUUUCUGGUAGACUUUGACUUUGAAAAUGAAAUGUUUGUUUGCCUUAAGUGUGACAAAGGCACUUUGAAAUAGAGCUCAGUGGUCUGAAAACAUUUAAUCAGUCUUCAUCCUUCGAAUAAUAUGUAUUUUAAAUGUAUUAUUUUAAAAGGGACCAACUAACCUUUCUUUUCUUACCUGCAAAUUGCAAGUUUAAUAUUAUAAUUUAAUAGGUAUAGAUUGCAAUCUAGCCCAAGAUGGUUAUGACUAAGUAGGAUUAGACUUCAUCAUAACAAAGUCCUAUCCCAAUGCUUUGAAUGCAAAUUAAUUAUGACUAUGGCCCGAAUCAGAGGUUUGCUCCAUGGAGUCAGAAGGUGCAUGGAGGGGGAUGUCUAAGGAUUCAGACACAGCUGGCUGACUGUUCAGCAACAUUCACCAACUUCCUUAAUAAUAUUUGGAAAAAUAUAUAUAAUGCUCAACUAAAAAUAGACAUUGAAUGAAUACUCUGAGCUAGGCCUGUAUUGCUGAAGUCUUUGCAGACCCUAAUUAUGUGGCCUGUACAACUUUUCUUCCCUUUGUUAGCUCUGUUGUUGCACUACUCUCCCUUUCCUACCUUAUUUUUCUUACUGUCUUUCUGAUACAUCUCCUACCUCUGACAGGCAGCAUUAGUAGCCAUUAGAAACUUCCACUAAACUUCCAGGUGUUGAGAGAAAUAAAUACAGCAUGGCUGUUCUGGUCAUAUUAGGGACAAAUUACUCAUUUGUGCAAUGGAUGUACCAGCCCUGUGUUUGGGCACAUCAAACUCUUUGUUGGAACAAACAUAUUCAUCUCCACCAGUUCCAUAAUAACCUAUCCAGAGACUCUGGCACAAGUGAAUAUGGCUGUAUGCUGCCUAUAAUGAAGAAAACCAAGGGAUUGUCUGUUGUUGCAAAUAACCAAGUGUGUUAAAGUGCCAAGAUAAUUGAUUUGGUUCUUGUGACUUAAGAAAAAUGAUUUGGCACUGUAAAUGUUGCAAUAGAAGUCUUUCAUCCCCCAAAGAGAUUAUGUGAAAGAAUGCAACUGUUCCACCAUUUUGUGUUCAGCUUCAAUGCUAUGAAAUGAUUGGCUUUUCUUUUAGGAUCUCUUCAUCUAGGAAGUUCACAAUUUUGGACGCAUUUCUGCAGAGCCAUUUGCCCAGGCCACAUUAUCCAAAACACUUUAUCUAAUCUUUAUAUUAAUGGACAGUGUCCCAUUAUUUCUCUCUGUGUGUGUUAUGUUUAGCUCUUCUUAGGCUUUACGAUUCCUUAUGACUAGUAGAGACAGCAGAGUAGUUGACAGUCAGCAGGUUUGCACUUUUAGUGACACAUUGUUCACUACCUUCUUGAGAGGUCAAGCCUGUCUUACCCAUGGCAAAUCCAUUGUCAGCCAGUCCUGGCAGGCAGCAUUCAAAAGCCCAGACCUCUCCUCCUUGGAAGCAACAAGGCAUUGCCGCCACUCCUCUAGACGCCUAAUUACACCAAUCAAUCAUGCAAAAAUGGUUCUCAUGGCUUUAAAUGGAGAGGUUAAAUCUCAUGAAGAUACUACCAAAAGAGAGGGAAGGGGAAGAUCUGGAGCUAACAGAAUUUCACACAAGAAAAAAGGGUGGAGAUUUAUAAACAGAAUCCCAGUCAUAGAAUAAAACAAUAAUUAUCUUACUCUUCUUAACAUCACCUUAUCCUGCCCUCAUACAGUGGCUGGGUUCACACUGGCUCCCUGAUAGGUUAUGAUAUUAAUUUAACACCCCAUGUUUGAACCUUAGACUGCUUCUUGUGCUGCCUCUUGGUCCAGACUUUGGACUGCUGAAAGAUUGUGAUUCUAGGACUACUGCUAUUACCUGUGAGCUGCUCUGCCUGUGCACUACCUGAAGCAAAAUGCAUCACUGGGUGUUAUGUGUUGUCAAUCCAUGUUUUUGUACCGUAGUAGUGCUAGAAAUAACUUGGUCCAUAGUUUUAAUGGCUCAGUCAAUGGACACAGGAAUUAUCUGUGAUUUAACAGUAGUUGGGGUGGGGUCCAUUGAGGGGGAAAUAUGCAUUUUCUAGAAGAUCCAUUUUGGAUCCUUGUGUGUGGCUAUAUUGGGCAAAUUGCAUUUAAAAAUGUGUAUCUUAGGAGAUAUCUUCAAAAAAUGCUGAGGAUUUUUCAUGACCACUUUUUUUAAAAAAAGCAAACUGAUGUGGAAAUGUGGAGAAGUGACAUUAAAAUUGAAAAAAUAAGAAAGUGAGCAAAAGGAACAUUGAAUGAAUUGUCCAUCCCUAACCACAACCUUUUGUUCGUGGAUUUAAACAGUCUUUGAGGAGCCUGUGGUCUUCUAGAUGUUGUUCAACUUCAGCCCCUUUAUAACCAGGCAAGAUAGCCAAUGGUCAGGAAUGAUGGGAACUGUAGUACAACCACAUCUGGAGGGCUGUAGAUUCCCCAUCCCUGGAUGAAAGCUUGUAACUUCACUGACUUCUUCAGAUCUAAACAUCAAUAGCUUCUGAACAAGAUGUGUUCACAUGAUGAGUUCAUUCACAUCUCCCCCCACUUCCAUUCAUGUAUAACAUGUCUGCGUCUUAGGAGUGGGCAUCUUACAAUACUAGUAAAAGGAGAAUGCAGGUUCUUAAUUCUCCACCACACCUUUCUUCCUAACACUAAGCAAUUCAAAAUUCCAAAAUCUUAAAUUAAAAACUUUAAAAACAAAACUGGAAAGUGUCAUGUGAGAGAUAGCAGCUUUUUAAAAACAACAACAACACAUGCACACACAGAGAGACAGACAAAGAGUGAUGAAAUGGUUUCUUUUUCUUUUUCCAGCCUGCUGAGUAGAAACAUUGUAAAUAUCUGAAGCAAGCUCUAAACGGUUCACCAUGAGGCUUCUCUCGAUGACUUGGCUAUGAAGCAGUAAAUACAGCAUGCCAGAGAGGUAUUCCUGUGGCACUUACCUUAUUUCACUGCAUGGUUAGUCUUUGUGAUGUCUGUAAUCGAUAUGGCACUGUUGACAAUUUGGAUUGAAGUGGAAUAAGAAAAAGAAUAUUUCCCUCAAGACCCUCCAGAAAAAGUAAUGUUUGAAGGUGUAUGAGGUGUGCCGGAUGAUUGCAGUCAUAUGCCUGAGGAGAUCUCUAGGAAUGGCAAAGACUGGGAGCAGAAGUAUUCUAAAG